UGGAGGAAUGAGAAAGUGAGGUAGCCUAACAACAAUGCUGCACUCACUGGUAUGACCCUCCCAGAUUAAAAUUAUGCAGCAAUUUGUUUUACUGAGCGCCAGCACUUAAUUGUUGCUAAAGCACACUACUGUUACUGCAUACACAAA